rnacentral:rRNA from 1 species
GUGCCAGCCGCCGCGGUAAUACGGAGGGGGCGAGCGUUGUUCGGAAUUACUGGGUGUAAAGGGUGCGUAGGCGGUCCGUUAAGUCUGAUGUGAAAGCCCUGGGCUCAACUCAGGAAUGGCAUUGGAAACUGGCGGGCUAGAAUACCGGAGAGGGAAGCGGAAUUCCUGGUGUAGCGGUGAAAUGCGUAGAUACCAGGAGGAACACCGGUGGCGAAGGCGGCUUCCUGGACGGAUUAUUGACGCUGAGGCACGAAAGCGUGGGGAGCAAACGGGAUUAGAUACCCUAGUAGUCC